AGGUUAAGCACUUAUGGUGUGGAGCCGAAGGGAAACCGAGUCUGAAUAGGGCAACUAGUUGUAUAUUGUAGACCCGAAACCGAGUGACCUAUCCAUGGCCAGGAUGAAGCGGAAGUAAAAUUCCGUGGAGGUCCGAACCACGUUGGUGUUGAAAAACCAUGGGAUGAGCUGUGGAUAGCGGAGAAAUUCCAAUCGAACUCGGAGAUAGCUGGUUCUCCUCGAAAUAGCUUUAGGGCUAGCGUCGGGUAAUUGAGUAGUGGAGGUAGAGCACUGAAUGGGCUAGGGGCUGACAACAGUUACUGAACCCUAUCAAACUCCGAAUGCCAUAUACUUGUACCCCGGCAGUCAGACUACGAAUGAUAAGAUCCGUGGUCAAAAGGGAAACAGCCCAGACCAUCAGCUAAGGUCCCAAAGUGUAAGUUAAGUGGGAAAGGAUGUGGGAUUUCUAAGACAACUAGGAUGUUGGCUUAGAAGCAGCCACUCAUUUAAAGAGUGCGUAAUAGCUCACUAGUCGAGAGAUCCUGCGCCGAAGAUGUAACGGGGCUCAAACUUACCACCGAAGCUAUGGAUGUGUACUAUGUACACGUGGUAGAGGAGCUUUCUGUACAGGUUGAAGUCAUACCGUAAGGAGUGGUGGACAGUACAGAAGUGAGAAUGCUGGCAUAAGUAGCGAAAAACAAGUGAGAAUCUUGUUGACCGAAUAUCUAAGGUUUCCUGGGGAAGGCUCGUCCUCCCAGGGUUAGUCGGGACCUAAGCCGAGGCCGAAAGGCGUAGGUGAUGGACAACUGGUUGAUAUUCCAGUACCACCAUAAUGCGUUUGACAAAUGGGAUGACGCAGGAGGAUAGGAUGUGCGCACUAUUGGAUGUGCGUCUAAGCACUUAGGGUGUUAAGUAGGCAAAUCCGCUUAACAUUAAGCCUGAGGUGUGAUGGGGAGCCUAUUUUGGCGAAGUAUCUGAUUCCACGCUGCCAAGAAAAGUCUCUAUGGAGCAAAAUGGUGCCCGUACCGCAAACCGACACAGGUAGAUGAGGAGAGAAUCCUAAGGUCGUCGGAAGAAUUAUUGCUAAGGAACUCGGCAAAUUGACCCCGUAACUUAGGGAGAAGGGGUGCCUACGAGAGUAGGCCGCAGUGAAUAGGCUCAAGCAACUGUUUAUCAAAAACACAGGUCUCUGCUAAAGCGUAAGCUGAUGUAUAGGGGCUGACGCCUGCCCGGUGCUGGAAGGUUAAGGGGAAUAGUUAGCGCAAGCGAAGCUAUGAACUUAAGCCCCAGUAAACGGCGGCCGUAACUAUAACGGUCCUAAGGUAGCGAAAUUCCUUGUCGGGUAAGUUCCGACCCGCACGAAUGGCGUAAUGAUUUGAGCACUGUCUCGGCAAUAAAUCCGGUGAAAUUGUAGUGCAAGUGAAGAUGCUUGCUACCCGCGGUUGGACGGAAAGACCCCGUAGAGCUUUACUGUAGCUUAGCAUUGAAUUUCGGUAUUGUCUGUACAGGAUAGGUGGGAGACUUAGAAGCGAGGGCGUCAGCUUUCGUGGAGUCGUCCUUGGGAUACCACCCUGACAGUACUGGAAUUCUAACUGGAGGCCAUGAAUCUGGUCACAGGACAUUGCUAGGUGGGCAGUUUGACUGGGGCGGUCGCCUCCUAAAAGGUAACGGAGGCGCCCAAAGGUUCCCUCAGCGCGGUCGGAAAUCGCGCGUAGAGUGCAAAGGCAGAAGGGAGCCUGACUGCGACACAUACAGGUGGAGCAGGGACGAAAGUCGGGCUUAGUGAUCCGGUGGUUCUGUAUGGAAGGGCCAUCGCUCAACGGAUAAAAGCUACCUCGGGGAUAACAGGCUGAUCUCCCCCAAGAGUCCACAUCGACGGGGAGGUUUGGCACCUCGAUGUCGGCUCGUCGCAUCCUGGGGCUGUAGUCGGUCCCAAGGGUUGGGCUGUUCGCCCAUUAAAGCGGCACGCGAGCUGGGUUCAGAACGUCGUGAGACAGUUCGGUCCCUAUCCGCCGUGGGCGUAGGAAAUUUGAGAGGAGCUGUCCUUAGUACGAGAGGACCGGGAUGGACCAACCUCUGGUGCACCAGUUGUUCCGCCAGGAGCACAGCUGGGUAGCUAUGUUGGGAAGGGAUAAACGCUGAAAGCAUCUAAGCGUGAAGCCCACCUCAAGAUUAGAUUUCCCAUAGCGUAAGCUAGUAAGACCCCUGAAAGACUAUCAGGUUGAUAGGUUGGAGGUGUAAGUACAGUAAUGUAUUCAGCUGACCAAUACUAAUAGGUCGAGGGCUUGAUCAAAUU
rnacentral:rRNA from 1 species